GGGGAGGUGCCAGAGUGGUUGAAUGGGGCCGCCUGCUAAGUGGUUGUUGGGGUAAAACUCAACCGGGGGUUCGAAUCCCCCCUUCCCCGCAA
rnacentral:tRNA from 1 species